GGAUUUUUCUUUGACACUAGUAAGCUAAUGUGAGAUACAACAAGACAGCUAGGACUUUGCUCUUCUGAAUUCUAAAUUAGCAGCUUUCCUUCUGUCACACAUAACAUAUAUUGUUCCUCCAGACUACAGCCAAUUGAAUACUGGUGUUGACAGAACUGAAUGUAUACAAUUAAGCCAGUAUGGUACUUCUGUUCAAAGUUUGUAAUAGAACUUAUAAAGAAGUGGUGAAGGAGGUAGACAGGGUUAGUUUUUGUGAGCUAAUCAAGGAAUGGAUGUAUGUUAAGGAUCACCUGGAAUAUUUUCAUUCUUUGUUUUCAUUUCAUUCAUUCCUUCAGAAAAUAUUUAUUGAGCAUCCUCUUUACCUCCGCAAUUCUGUACAAAAGCAGACAUGUGUCUGGCCUUCAAAAGUUUAAAACCUGCUAGAGUACACAUACAUUAAUCAAAUAAUCAUGUAGUCAAGUGGAAAAAAAUGUGCAAUUAUGAUAUCAUAACAAAGGCUGAGAACAAGAGGUACCUGAUACCUUUAGAGCAAAUACUGGGGGUGGGGAUACAGCCUGGUCAGUAAGGUCAAGAAAGGUUUCUUCCAGGAGAGGAAGCAAAGUCAUGGAUCUCCUUCUAGGCAGAAGAUACAGCAUGAGAAACUGAGAUGUUACAGGAGCCACAUGUCAGUACUAGAGACUACAGGCAGCCUGGUGUGGCUGACGUGCAUUCUGCACAGAGGCCGUGAUGCCACAUGACAAGAGAGACCUGAAAGGCGUUUUAGUCAGGUCUUCUAUUAUACGCCAUGGUCCCCCAUGUUAAGUAGCUUUGUCUUCACUUGCAGAGAAAAGAGAAGACAGUUGGAGGGAGUUAAACACUGAGUGAUAGCAUAGCAGAUCUGAGUGGUGGAAAGGUCACUGUGCCCGUUCUGGAGUGAGGUUAGAAGAAGCAAAUGUUAACCUUGGAAGGUGGGUCAGAAGGAAGGUAACUGUAGCUGGACCGAGUGGAGGGGAGGAAGUGAGACUCAUCUGGAAGGUACAUCUAUAAGCCACAGGGACAGAUUAUACAUGGGGGAUGAAAUAAGGGGGGCUACAGAUGAGGUUGUGGCUUCUGACCCACUUAAGUAAAGAUUGGUGGUGACAUUCGCUGGUGUCAUAAGAAAAGGAGCAGAUUUCAGAUGAAAACCAGAAAGCUAAUUUAGCUGUAUUGAAUAAAAGUACUCAGUAAAAAAUGCAAUUGAAAAUAUCUAGUUGCAAGGUAGAUGUUUGGGUCUGACUCAGAGCUUGGUUUUUUUUGUUCUUUCAAUUUCUUCUUAGAAUUAAUAAACGGUGAUCAUGGCCCUUUUGAACACUUAAUGGUAUUUUUCUUUACAAUGUGAUAGAAGAGAAAGGCAUGCAGACUCCUUCUUUUGAGAAGCAAUGUGUUAUCACUUUUUUCCCAAUCCACGACAUACUGAUUUUUAUUACUGCAAAUGACAAACAAAAAACCAAUUCUAAAUCAAACAAAAAAGGAAUUUGCUGGUGUAUGGGUUCAUGUAAACGAGAAGGUUCAGAGGUCGGGCAGGCUUCCGGUAUAAUUUGCUCAGUGCCUCAGCUACGUUUCCCUGCCAUUUUUGUAAAUGCUUUGUCUUCUCCUUCAGACUCAGGCUGGUUUUCCUUGUGGCAGAGGAAGGGCUGCAGCAGGCAUUUGCACACCGUGUCAUCCGACGCAAGAAGACUACAUCUCUAUUAUAAAAUGUUUUCCAAUUAUCUGGGGACAGUAUGAUUGACCCAGUUUACUGCAUGUUCAUCUGUAGCCACGGAUCAGAAGAGCAGGCUUACCAGGACUUGCCUGAAAGGUUCUUCAUUAAAGGGAAGAGAGACCUUGUCACCAAAAGAAUGAAGAAGAAAUGCCAAGUCUAUCAGAAUAAAUAAGUCUACUUGUGAUAGACAUGAAGAUAGACACCCCUUCAAGACAAGGCUCACUGUCCAGUUCAGAGUAGGUGGCAACCAGCCUUCAGCUACUGUCAUCGCUAGGUCCACCUCAGCUUUUGAGUUGUAGUACAUCAGAAAUGGCCAAGACUGACAGUGGCAAGAGAAUAUCUUUCCAAAGGGAAGAACCUUAGGUGCUACACCUGGGCAUCCACUUUCUGUUCAGUUAAACGUCUGAUUCUUGAUCUUGGCUCAGGUCCUGAGUUCAAGCCCUGUGUCGUGCUCUGUGCUGAUAACAUAGAGCCUGCUUGGGAUUCUCAGUCUCCCUCUCUCUCUUCACCCCCCCCCCCCUUGCAUCCUGUCUCUCAGAAUAAACAAAUAAACUAAAAAAACAAAAAGGAAUAUAUACAGACUCAUGCAAAGUUACAGAUGGACUGGUCAGCUGUCAGGGGCUUAGAAUAGAAAGUAGAAGAUCAAGGACAAAGCGGUCUGGGGUAGAGACAUUCGGAUGGGCCUAUGGGAGUAGGCAUGCAGUGGGAAGGUUUUUCUUUCACAUAUGAAUACCAGCAGAGUAUUAUCUACCAGAGGGCCACUAUCAACUGAGUACACAAAAUGCCUUAUUAAACGAUGUGCCAUCAGAUGACUGCCUCUGGUUGGUCCCACUUCAUAGCAACGAAGGAGCAGGCGUGGGCCGUGAGCUUGGGAUCCACUCAUUGUCUCAUACAUACCAGUUGGAAGCAGCUACCGAAUAUAGCAUCAUAAUGGUGCUUUGAAGGCACUAAUUAAGUGCCAGCUGGGUGGCAGUCUUCUGUGAGCCUAGAAUACCAUCUUCUAGAAAUUAGAGACAUGUCAGUGGCAUUGUGUCUCUAGUAGCAAGAAUGCAUAGGUCUGGGAAUCGGGGCAGAAGCAGAAAUGGUUCCAAUUGCUAUUACUCCCAAUUCUAAUGACGCCCCAAAGAGACUCUGUGCUUCUCAUUCCCUCCACUCUCGGCUCUGCAGGAUUAGAGAUCCUGGCCCACAGAGGGAGUAUACACUCUUGCCAAUAGACACAGUAAACAUCCUAUUGAACUAAAACCUCUGACUACCACCUGGUGCUUUGAACCCCUGUAUCCAGGGACCAGCAGACCAGAAAAGGAGUCACUGUCUUAGCAGAGCACUGAAACUCAUCAGCAGGAGGAGCUAGAGCAGCUGUUAUUUAACAGGGGCAGUAAGGAAUAUGUGAAAUAUUGGUAUCCAGUUGGGUUCCUUUCUUGCCCGAUUGUAACUGUGAAUGAGUAAGUGCAGGACACUGGCCUGAGAAGCCUAUGGUUGCCAGGAACUCACAUCCCUCAAGAAAGAGUUUGGGAUAUAACCUAAGGUAAACUGCCCACUGAGACCAGUAGAGGUGACAGUCGAGUGGGGAUUUGAAAAGAUGAAGGAAGAAAUAGAUGGAUGAGUACCACUUGCAGCCCUGGGAUGGGAGUGGGGAAGAGAGAAAGAAUUCCAGCCUCUACCUUCCUGUUUUAAAUUCUACCCCCACAAGCAUGCGUUUUCCAGAUGUAUAUGGAACAGUGAAUCCACAGGGUACAAAGUAUGGGUUGUGACAGAUACAAAGAGAUGUAACUCUGAAAUUCUCCUUCAAGGAAGGGCUCGUUGCCCAGUGUGAGAAGUGAUGUUAGCUGGCAGCUUCCUUCAGUUCACUUUUUCAGGUGUGCCUCAGCUUUGAGUUAAGUUCAUGUUCUCUUUGGGGUGGCCUCAGCCAGUGACUGGACAAGACUGACAGAAGGAGAGAGCAGUUUCUGCUCACUGUAGGAUUACUCUAAUAUCCUUCCGUAGCCCCCAUGGGCAUUUAUAUCACAUUUUCUUGACAGACCCUGCCUCAUCUUUCCUCCCUUUUGCUUUCAUAGAUGUUACUUCUCUGCAAGCCUGUUGCCCUCCUGCCUGCAUUUCAGUGUCAGCUUCUGUAGGACCCAACUAACAUACCACUAAAACCUUUUUUUUCCUUUCCUUUCCUUUCCUUUCCUUUCCUUUCCUUUCCUUUCCUUUCCUUUCCUUUCCUUUCCUUUCCUUUCCUUUCCUUUCCUUUCCUUUAUUUCUACAAGCAGUGUCUAAAUCAGUAUAAAAUAAUCCUGACCCCCAGAAAUUUCAAUUCCUUUUAGAGUGCCACACAUUCAGAUCUUGUCCCUUGGUUUAGCACGCAAGCAAAUUUACAUUACUGUAUAAUCCUCCUUCUAACUUUUACAGCUUUGGGUGACUCACUGUGCAUCAGCAUAGAAGCAUUAUGCUCAUUCUGAUUGUCCAGUGUCUGUUUACCUACUCUGGCUACCCAAUACAAAUACGAAAGGACCACCUUUGUGAGCCAGUAUGGGCAGCAUCACCAGCGCUCAAAUACAAUGUUUUGUUUUUCUCUGAUCUUGUGAAAAUACUUCUCAAGAACACUGAAAACAAAUGUUCACAUCCAGGCAUUACUCAUGGCUGAUCCUGAGUUACCUCAGGUGCUAAAAUAGCUCUGUUGUAGUGGAACAGACUCAAGUUUUUCGUCAGAAUCAGCUAGGUUGAACCCUGGGUUUUGUCCACGUAGCCUGUGACUUGAGGAAAGUUACUUCAUCUCUUUAUUCCUAAAAUUUCUUAUGUGUAAAAUGGAGGAAUGAUAAUGCCUAUCUCAGAUUUUUCCUCUGAGGAUGAGUAUUGCGCACAAUGCAAACAGUAUAUCUGGAACAUGGAACCCAAACAAGAAAUAGUUGCUUGUAGAAGUUAUAGUAUAUAAGUAGGGUCCAUAAUCUGAAAGUGAAAGAAACUGUAAUCUGUUUAGCAACUAGCAGGGGUCAUGGCCUCCAUUAUUUAUGUCGUGUACAUGAUCUAAUUUUUUUUUCAUCCACAUAGUAACCUUACAAGUUAACUGUAUACAACCUUACAGCUGGGAAAAUAUGGGUCUCUGAAAGGUGAAACAACUUGCCCAAUGUGAAAUGGUUCAUAAGUAGCAAGGAUGGGAAAGUUAUAGAAUUAGCAACAAAGUCCCUGAUAAGAAUUAAGUACCAGAGGUGAAUGAUAACAGGAAUGAAUGUGCUUUCUUAUCUCUUGUGCAGCCCGCCAUGUAUGGUGAACCAGUGUGCUUUCACAGUGUGUGUUUUCUAUGAGAAGUGGGCUGAGAUUUUAAAGGGUAACUUGCUUGUGGGU